GAAUAUUGGACAAUGGGCGAAAGCCUGAUCCAGCAAUGCCGCGUGAGUGAUGAAGGCCUUAGGGUUGUAAAGCCCUUUCACCGGGGACGAUGAUGACGGUACCCGGAGAAGAAGCACCGGCUAACUCCGUGCCAGCAGCCGCGGUAAGACGGAGGGGGCUAGCGUUGUUCGGAAUCACUGGGCGUAAAGGGCGCGUAGGCGGCGUCGCAAGUCGGCUGUGAAAGCCCGGGGCUCAACCCCGGAGGUGCAGCCGAGACUGCGGUGCUCGAGGCCGGAAGAGGAGGGUGGAAUACCCAGUGUAGAGGUGAAAUUCGUAGAUAUUGGGUGGAACACCGGUGGCGAAGGCGGGUCUCUGGGCAUUUCCUGACGCUGAGGCGCGAAAGCGUGGGGAGCAAACG
rnacentral:rRNA from 1 species